CCGACCUUAGCUCAGUUGGUAGAGCGGAAGACCGUAGUAGUUGCUGUAAUCUUUAGGUCGCUGGUUCGAUUCCGGCAGGUCGGA
rnacentral:tRNA from 1 species